CCCUAUUAUUUUGGAAUGUUAAUUUUUGUGCCUGAGUAGUAUUAGUUAUGUUCUUGAAACUUAAAGAAUUUGGCGGUAUCUCAUUCCGUCCAGAGGAAUCUGUCCCGUUAUCGAUAGUCCACGUUGGACCUUACUUAUUUGAUUUUGGUUUGUAUACCGCCGUUUAUUGAUUAUCUUUUUAGAGGUUAUGUUAAUUUUCUGGUUUCUUUAUUUUGAUGUAUUUCAGGUCAAGGUGCAGCUUGUUUUUAAGUGGAAUGAUGGAUUACAUUGUUAUUUGUUUAUGGAUUGUUGGUUUUAAUAUUGGCAUGAAAUUGGAUUUGGUUGUAAUGAUUUGUAGAUUGUUAUUAUGAUAAUUGGUUCUGAGAUAUGUACACAUCGCCCGUCGCUCUCGUUUGUUGUUAUAAUGAGAUAAGUC
rnacentral:rRNA from 1 species